rnacentral:rRNA from 1 species
UAGGGAAUCUUCGGCAAUGGGGGGAACCCUGACCGAGCAACGCCGCGUGAGUGAAGAAGGUUUUCGGAUCGUAAAGCUCUGUUGUUAAGGAAGAACGAGUGUGAGAAUGGAAAGUUCAUACUGUGACGGUACUUAACCAGAAAGGGACGGCUAACUACGUGCCAGCAGCCGCGGUAAUACGUAGGUCCCGAGCGUUGUCCGGAUUUAUUGGGCGUAAAGCGAGCGCAGGCGGUUAGAUAAGUCUGAAGUUAAAGGCAGUGGCUCAACCAUUGUAGGCUUUGGAAACUGUUUAACUUGAGUGCAGAAGAGGAGAGUGGAAUUCCAUGUGUAGCGGUGAAAUGCGUAGAUAUAUGGAGGAACACCGGUGGCGAAAGCGGAUCUCUGGUCUGUAACUAACGCUGAGGCUAGAAAGCGUGGGGAGCGAACAGG